GCCUAUAGGGCUCAGGGGGAGAGCAUGGGACUCUUGAUCUUGGGGUUGUGAGUUAAAGCCCCAUUUUGGGCA
rnacentral:tRNA from 1 species